GCCUGGCUGGCUCAGUCAGUAGAGCAUGUGACUGCUGAUCUCAGGGUUGUGAGUUCAAGCCCCAUGCUGGCG
rnacentral:tRNA from 1 species